UCCCAACCGAUGUCGCAAAACUUGUUCACAGGUGUGGUUUGAACCACGGAUCUUACGUUUCUGAGGCAAGUCAGCGUUAUUAUGCUAUUAGAACACUGAUCUUACGUUUCUGAGGCAAGUCAGGGUUAUUAUCAGUUUUCUAUUAGCAUAAUAAUGCUAAUAAUACACUGAUACUCUGUAAUUGAUUUAUCAUAAAUAGUUUUAUGACUUAUGAGAAACAUAAUAUACUUACAUGUAUAUUGAAUAAGUACUUAUUGUGUGUAAUGAAUAAAUUACUCAAAUCAGAUAAACAUUAUAAGGGGGGCUAGUCACCGUGGUGACGUGUUGCCCAAAAGAAUACAGCUGCAAUCAAUAAGGAUCUAAAAUCAGUAUUUUUCCUUUGUACUUUAUGGAAUAAAAUCUAUAACCAUAUAUAAUUUAUUUUUAAAUUAGUCUUAAUUUUAUUUUUGUGUUACAGUACAAUUAUGUAUGCCAUAGUUUUAUUUAUUGAAACUAAUACCACUGAUUAUGUGUUACUAACUUCGAUAAGUGAAGUUAAAGACAACUCACUUCCAUCCGUUAUUGAAAAUAAAGUGUCUGUUAAAAGGUUAUUGGCUAAAUGGAAAAAAUUUAAGUCCAACAGGUAUUGCAAAGGCUAAAAACUGUCUAAUGGAUCCAGAUGUGCAUUUAUUUACUGCGAGAAUACUCGGAAGUAAAGCCAGAUGAGCAUUUUUUUACUGCUAGAAUACUCGGAAUUGCAGACAGUCUUAUUGAGGCACGGUAAAAGGCUAAAAGAGCUGAGGACACAUCCAACCUGGAUAUAACAGAAGAAAAUGCAUUGAAAUCUGUAAGACGAAAAAAAAAUUCGGCACAAAAAAAUAAAAACUGAUGCUUUAUGUGUUACUCAAACCUCCUCCACCUUUCAUUAGCAAAGAGCCUCAGAGUUUACUGAAUCUGAAAGUAACAUUGAGCUUGUUAACACUAAGUAAUAAUUUUUUUUGGGCUUUUAUAUUGGUCCUAUGAUUAUGUAAAAUAUUUUACUUGUUCAUGUGUUGAA